rnacentral:rRNA from 2 species
UACGUAGGGUGCGAGCGUUAAUCGGAAUUACUGGGCGUAAAGCGUGCGCAGGCGGUCUGUUAAGACCGAUGUGAAAUCCCCGGGCUUAACCUGGGAACUGCAUUGGUGACUGGCAGGCUUUGAGUGUGGCAGAGGGAGGUAGAAUUCCACGUGUAGCAGUGAAAUGCGUAGAGAUGUGGAGGAAUACCGAUGGCGAAGGCAGCCUCCUGGGCCAACACUGACGCUCAUGCACGAAAGCGUGGGGA